rnacentral:lncRNA from 1 species
UCGAUGGAAAAAUGCCGGAGAAGUCAACUGAGUCGUUGCUGACGCCGCCGCGCGGAGAACCACUUGUCACACCUCCUUUUUACCACCCGAGGAAGUAUAAGGGAAUUUUUCAAAUUAAAGUGACAAUCGAAACGGGAUUAUUUAAUGUAAAAUUUAGAGUCGUCACUUGGGAUAAUUUAUGGUGUCGCAAGUCACCGGUUUAAAUCCCGAAUCGAGGAAAGUUGACUCUUAUUUAUGGUCCGCGAACACAGAAAUUCGGGUAAGGAAUUCUGUUAACCCGGAAGAAGGUGUUAGGCAUUCCCGGGUUCCGUGGUUCUAGCACGAUUGCUUAACUAUUAUUAUUGGCCUAAUUAUUUGAUUAAUUACACAUUUUAAACCUACGCGCAUUUUUAACUUUCUAGCCGCUUUAAAUGUCUUUUAGGAAAAUUCAAGGUCAUUUAAAACACAUCGUAAGCCACGCUACAUGAAAUGCACCCGUGGUUCACGACAUGUUCUAUUUAACCUUGUUGGAAAUUAGAAUCGGGUCACAUAAAAUGUACACCCGGAUUUUAGUAAUUACAAAUCACAACUACGUCACGGGAACCAUACCCGUAGCCAUGAUAAUUAUUUAAUAAAGCCUAGAGCAAGCUACGAAUAUUCAUUUUAGAAACCGUAAUCAUUUCACGUGAAUGUGUCCAUAGAUAAUAAAUUCAAAACGCGCCUAAAGGUUUGCCUAUCCGGGUGUUGACGACCUAAGCAUGCUCCUAUCGAUAAAAUUUAGUAGUAAAAGCAGUUAAAGCCUAAUUUUCACGCAAGGUCCAUCCAUGGUAAAAAUCUGAUUCCAAUUUAAAUAUCAUUGGCCACCACCCACUUAAACAAUUGGCAGUACCCUAUGCCUUUUUAACAAAAACUAAUGUUUCAUUUCAUUUCAGCAUAUGAGCCAUGGUCUAAUAUUUCAAUGAGAAUGCAAAACCAGAUGAUUAAAACCAACAAAAACUAUGAUAAACUAUUAAUUUCAGUCAAGUCACAACCAUAAAAUAUCACAAUAAUCAUGGUAAAAAUAUCACCACAUAAGAAAUAAUAAAGAUUAUAGAAUGGACCUUUAUAGCUGCAAUGUGUCUUUGAAACAACGAAUAGAAAAGAAAACUCCAAGCCCAAGCUAUGAUUGACGAGCUCAACAGUCUGGACCUCGACGACCUUGAGCGAAAACUCAGACUGUAACCUUGAGCAGCAGCAGGGCUCGAAUCGGAAUCGACGUCGAACAAUCUCGAUCGGCGACGAACUCGAAAACGGACAGAAGGGGUUUAGGGGUCUUCGGCUCUAAGGCUGUGUUCUCUUGGUUCUCAGCCGAAGAAGAUGGUACAAGGCUAGGGGUCGCUGGUGUGGGGUGCUGUUCUGGUGGUGGAUGGCUGUGAGGGUGCAGCUGGUUUUUAUGGUGAGGAAGAUGACUGGUCAUCGGUACGUUGGUGGGUGGUCGUUCAAUGGCAGUUAGAAGGUGAAGAUGGUGUGACGUGACUGCUUGUUUUUGGAGAGGGGGGAGUUGAGGUGGUGGCUAUCUGGCAGAAAUAGGGUGGCUUGUGGGGUGGAGAUGAAGUCUAGGGUUUUUUUUUGUGUUCUUUUUGUUGAAGAAGAUGCUAUUCCAUGCUUUUUCAUGGAAAACGACUCCCUUGUUUUUGUGAAGAAGAUGAAGCUUAGGUCUUCAUUCUUUUCUUUUUUUUAGAAGGUCACGAUUGAUUUAAUCCUUAGGGGUCUAGGCUCCAGGAAAUUCGGCUUCUUUUUGGUUAUAUAGAAAGGGUUUUUAGGUUAAAGGGGUUUGGGUUUGGUAUUAUUGGGCCUUAAAAUUGGG